rnacentral:rRNA from 1 species
UGGGGAAUAUUGCACAAUGGGCGAAAGCCUGAUGCAGCGACGCCGCGUGAGGGAUGAAGGCCUUCGGGUUGUAAACCUCUUUCAGCAGGGAAGAAGCGCAAGUGACGGUACCUGCAGAAGAAGCGCCGGCUAACUACGUGCCAGCAGCCGCGGUAAUACGUAGGGCGCAAGCGUUGUCCGGAAUUAUUGGGCGUAAAGAGCUCGUAGGCGGUUUGUCGCGUCUGGUGUGAAAACUCGAGGCUCAACCUCGAGCUUGCAUCGGGUACGGGCAGACUAGAGUGCGGUAGGGGAGACUGGAAUUCCUGGUGUAGCGGUGGAAUGCGCAGAUAUCAGGAGGAACACCGAUGGCGAAGGCAGGUCUCUGGGCCGCAACUGACGCUGAGGAGCGAAAACAUGGGGAGCGAACA